AAGAUUCUAGUAAAACAUUACACUGCUUUGUCAAGGCAAAAUUGCGGGUUAAAACCCCGCGUAUCUUA
rnacentral:tRNA from 1 species